UCAGCUGGAGGAUACAUGAUGGUGCAGUGAGGAGAUUGGGGGAGGUCCGAUACAUACCCGAUUUCAGGCGGAAUCUUAUCUCACUUAGCAGACUGGAUUCGAGAGGCUACAGGACGGUAGCUGGUGGAGGAAUCGUAAGGCUGCUACGCGGCGAUAGGAUUGUGCUGGAGGGGAAGAAGGGGAGCAGAGGACAUUAUUACCUGGCAGGGAGCCCAGUGCGAGGUGGAGCAUCGGGAGCCAGACGGAGCCCAGAGCGAGGUGGAGCUCCAGGAGGCGGAUCGGGCACGAGACAGGAGACUCGGGAGGACGAGAGGCGACGUCGCAAGGUAAGAUUCCUAUUGCCACAGGAUGAUGCCCCGAGCAGGUCUCAGGUCAGGAGGAGCACAGCAUACAACGGAGAUGGGAUCGAGCAGCCUGGCUCGACUCCCAUGUUUGCCCAUCCAUGAU
rnacentral:lncRNA from 1 species